UACGUAGGGGGCAAGCGUUGUCCGGAAUCAUUGGGCGUAAAGCGCGUGUAGGCGGCUUGGUAAGUCUGCUCUGAAAGCCCGGGGCUCAACCCCGGGAGGCGGGUGGAUACUGUCAAGCUCGAGUCCGGAAGAGGAGUGUGGAAUUCCUGGUGUAGCGGUGAAAUGCGCAGAUAUCAGGAGGAACACCAAUGGCGAAGGCAGCACUCGUGGG
rnacentral:rRNA from 1 species